CAAAAAAAAUCAUAUACACUACCAACAUACAAGGAGGUAGUACUAGAAAAAAAAAAAAACAUUUUUAUGCCUCCUAUUCACCAUUUUGUCUGGAGAACUUCCAAGUUCAUAUAAGAACAAUUUAUUCAAUGAAACUAAGAAUAAAAGUGUAACAAAUUGCCCAGCUGACACCAAGUUAUUGACAUUUGCAGGUAGGAGACAGUGGUUUGGGAGGAGAUUGCUUUCACAAGAUAGACCAUAGCACAUCUGCAAAACAGCAUCCGGUGUAUGGUCUGUGUUGUUCCCAUGAUAGACAGCAUUUUGGAGGCCAAGGCAAGUGUACUGCUCAAGUUUUGGCCACAUUAUAGCAGUCACCAGGCUCUAUGCUAUCAGCUUAGGAUAGGUGGAAGCCAGGCCAAAUAUCAAUGGGAUGGACCCCAAAUCUCUCAAAUCCACACAAGAGACUUUACCAACUCAGCCGGUCGACAGCUUGGAAAAUAAUAACUAUUUAGGAAGCACUGUUGUUUCAUUAUUAAAAUCAGUUAAAGCAAUAACAAAUUAUUAAUGGUGGCUACAUUGUUCGAUGGCAAUGAUACUAGGGUGAGUGAUGGGGGUGGUAGUGGUAGUAGGUGGCAAUGGCAAGUAGUGGUGGAUGAUAGUGGGGGUGCGGUCAUGUUGGUGGUGGCAGCAUUGGGGGGAUGUGGUGGUGUUUGUGAUAGCUGCAAAGGGUGGACAUAGUGGUAUAUCAUGGUUGUGGUGGUGGUGGCAGCUGCAAUAGUGGAGAGGUAGUGGUGAUGACCUCAAGGGGUAGUGGACAUGGAGGUAUGAGUGGUGGUGGCAGUGGGUUAAAGUGAUUAGCAAUGGGUGCAUGGGUUGUAGCAUUGUAGGCGGUAAAGGCAGAGUCAGAGGUAGGAUU